rnacentral:rRNA from 1 species
UACAGAGGGUGCGAGCGUUGUCCGGAAUCACUGGGCGUAAAGGGCGCGUAGGUGGCGCGACAAGUCAGUGGUGAAAGUUCGACGCUCAACGUCGAAUCGGCCACUGAUACUGUUGGGCUUGAGCACUGUAGAGGCUAAUGGAAUUCCGGGUGUAGCGGUGGAAUGCGUAGAGAUCCGGAAGAACACCGGUGGCGAAGGCGGGUCUCUGGGCAGUAACUGACGCUGAGGAGCGAAAGCGUGGGGAGCGAACAGG